AGGACGAACGCUGGCGGCGUGCUUAACACAUGCAAGUCGAGCGGAAAGGCCCUUCGGGGUACUCGAGCGGCGAACGGGUGAGUAACACGUGAGCAACCUGCCCUUAGCUCCGGGAUAGCUCCGGGAAACCGGAAUUAAUACCGGAUACGACCACGGCCGACAUCUGCUGUGGUGGAAAGGAUUCCGGCUAAGGAUGGGCUCGCGGCCUAUCAGCUAGUUGGUGGAGUAACGGCCCACCAAGGCGACGACGGGUAGCCGGCCUGAGAGGGCGACCGGCCACACUGGGACUGAGACACGGCCCAGACUCCUACGGGAGGCAGCAGUGGGGAAUAUUGCGCAAUGGGCGGAAGCCUGACGCAGCGACGCCGCGUGCGGGAUGAAGGCCUUCGGGUUGUAAACCGCUUUCACCAGGGACGAAGCGAGAGUGACGGUACCUGGGGAAGAAGCGCCGGCUAACUACGUGCCAGCAGCCGC
rnacentral:rRNA from 1 species